GCAUCUGGAAGAAAAGAGGAAAACAACCGAGGGUUAAGGUGGCACAGGAGAGGGCUGUCCUUUUGUAAACAUUGAGCUAAAUAACCCAAACCCAACCGUACUGAACAGGAACACACAGAGUUUAAUUAUGAUUGUGUCUAAAGUAGCUGCAAAAGGCUCUCUGUCACUUGGUAAUGGAUGGUGCUCUGUAGCACUUCCUUUAGAAGCCAAUUCUACAGGCAGUCAACAAGUAGCUUUAUUUAAUGCUCUGGUCCCUUCCCCCACACAGCUGCUCAGUCCUGGCUCCAAGCAUGCCACUGCACGAGGAGCUUCCAGCUCCAACAGGAGCUACAACAUCCUCAAACAUUUUGCCUAAAUUAACCAAGACCAAUGACAAAGGGAUUAUCUCAUUCUAGGAGAUAACAACAUUCCUCCAAAUCUCUUCCUACUUGUUCUUGCUUCUCUUUUUUGCUUCCCCAAAUAUUGUUCCAGAAAAAUCCUAUUUUUUAUGGAUGGUCUGACCUCCAUUCUGUAGUGGGAUUUGGCAUAUACACAUGGGGAAAAUCUAUCCCACUACUUAAAUUUUGAAUCAUCAUGCAGAGCACAUUUGGACUUCAGAAGAUGACUGAGUUUCCAUGGAGAUAUGCUCAAGAUACAGUACAGCUGAUUUUGUUCAGUCAUUCUCUUAUCUUGGUUGCAGAGCAAGUAUGAUUUGUUUGGAGCUGUUAAAAGUCUAUUUCUUUUUCUUUCAAGCAGUCACCAAUGUUAACAGUUACCCCUAAUGCUUUUCUUGCAAAGUCUGACCUGAGACCUUUCCUUUCAGAGCCUGUCAGUGUCACUAGCACAUUAAUAUUUUGCUUCUUGGACCUUCUGAAUAUUUUUUUCCUAGCUAAUAUGAGCCUGCUUCAUUACUUCAACAGGAUCAUGAAGGCCUGGAUGUCAAUUUUUCUUCUUUCCCUCUGUGCAGAAGUAGUUGUACUGACCAGGCCCAAUUGUCCUGCACCUUUCAGAUGGGACUUCAGUUCUUUUUAGUUUUCUACACGAAAAUGUUUGACAUUAUCUCUCCACUAAAAACUUCAAUAGAGCUGUGGAAAGAUCAUUAGUUUAACAUUAAAUAUCUCUCCAGCUUCACUUGACUCAUGUUUCUUGACUUUUCAUGGCUUAGUUGAUUGUAUGGUUGUUGUUGAUGGAUUUGGAUUACUGACACAGGUGAGAGAUAAUUAUUCUGAACUGCAAUGAAUGGAUGGGGCCCAGAAAACACUUCCUAAGGCCAGCAGAUCUCUAACUUUCCUGCCUCUGGACACGUGAAGCUGGGACCCUGCAAACCCGUGACUCGCUUGGUGGCAGUCCAGCCACAGUCAGGUCCCUGUAGCACUGAAGAGGGCUGGCAUUCAGCAUUCCUGCAGACCACUGCCAGACAUAAUUCUCUGUUACAAUGGAUACUUUGGCAUUCUCUGAGCAGACCUUGCCACAGGCUGUUGCUUCAGCACUAUGAGAUCCUGCCAGCAUGUUUGGGGCUGCCCUUCAAAGAUCUGUCAGACAGCAAGAGUGGAUGGGAGCAGCAGCAUGAACUAGGUAGUGUAUUUUUGGGGGACAGCUUUCCUCCCUUAUUGCUUAGCAUUGAUAUGAGACCAUUUAAUGAGAUUUCUCUAAACAGGGAGACAGCCUCUGUAGGCUAACUCAGCCCUGCUCCCUGUCCUGCAGGAAUGCUGAGACUUCUUUUUCAGACUGACUGAAUCAAGUACUCAGAGGGAUCCACUUUUGACAAUGCCUCAGAUCUUUGCACUUGAAUCCCACAUGAAUGGUACCACACGUAAGAGCAGAGCCCACCUGCCUCCCCAGAGGCUGGCCACAGGUGUGAAAAUAAAUUUAGUGACAGCAGUAGACUGUAAAGGCAGUCUGCCAAGAGCAAGAGGCAUGGUGAUGGUCAUGCACCCAGAGGGAAAAAAGAUCUGUACCAAAAUAGUUUACAGAGAUUUAAAAAGACAUUUUCCAAGAGAGAAGCAGACACAAAAUGUGGGAAUCUGCUGCCCCAACUUACCUGCCUGUGGAGAUGAAACACCUAAGUCAUUCCAGUGUGUUUAAAAGAAACCAUGAAAACUGGCUCAGACUUAGGGAUCGGCUAUUUUGCCAACAGAUGUCAAGUUAGGGGAUUCAGUAUCCCCUUACUCUCAUAUGAUACUGACUCCAGCCAUUUCACCAAAGGUUACAAUAAGGAUCUUUCAGUAAUGCUAUUUAUCAAUCCUUCGGGUACAUUUUCCCAACCUCUGCUAAAAAAUAAUUGUUCCUAGAAUUCCCUAACGUGAAAAAAUAAGGAUUAGAACAAUUGGUAACAUCAAUUUUUAAGAUGCAAAAAUAAGAGAUGACAAAUGUUGAAAUACUUGUGAGGUGGAAAACUGCUGAUAGAACAUUUUUCUACUCAAGCACAGCUUUCUGCUGUCCACAGGCUGCUCUUCAGGCUGGGGGGAAUGCAUGACUGAAACUUGGUAGUGAGGACACCUGCUGAGGGAUCUGAAGGAUUAGGAAGGAAAUCUCUGCUGAAAUGAUGACUUAUUUCUAUGAAAAUUAACAACUCUAACAUGCCAGGCAAGGUGGGAUUCACCACAGCAUAGCAGGUAAUCAAACACUGUGUGGGAAGAGGGAGCCUGAGACAGAGCAGGGUAGGGAUUGGCUUCAAAUCCUGAGUGAAAGCUCCCCCCAGAAAAGUGCCUGGAGUGGGCAUAGAGGGUCUCUGUCUAGAAAUUGCUUUCUGAGAGAGCUUUAGAAUGGCCUCACACAUUAAGGUCUGUUUUCAAGGACUGCUGCCAAAAUUAUGGUUUUUUUUAAAAAAUUCCCAGUCACUUUUAAUUCCAGUGAUCCUGAAGGAAUGCUGAAAGACAACAGUAUGAGACUGGCAGAUGUAAACUGGGUACCAGACUGCUGAGAAACAUUGCUAAACAUGGGUGUCAAAUUAGUCUGUCUUGCUGUGAAACAUGCAAAAGAGGAAUUUUGAAGAAAGGAAGCACCACUCAUGCCUGAAUCAGGAAACUGCCCAGCGAUAUCUAAAACAGGAAACAGCUAAAAGAGAAGAAAGGUGGCCAGCAAAGUCAUACUCUAAAUUUGAACAGAUAAUACAAGCAGUUAGACUAUUUUGUGUUUACAGUGCCUCUUAAAAGGUUAUGAGGAAGAUUGAAAAAACCUUUCAGCUUUCAAAGAUGUUUUAACUCGUCACAAAAACUCUGAAGCAGUUAAGUCUAUCACAUUUCUCUCUUUUCUACCCUCACAUUUUUUGGCAAUAUGUGCUGAAGCAUUUGAAUGAAGCCAAGAGCUUGUGUUACUUGAAGUUUCAUCUGUUUCUGCUGUUUUUUUCUCUUACUUGCAAUCAAUCAUUUGUUCAGGACAAACUAUGAACAGAAGAUCUAUGUUAAGGAAGAAAGGAAAUAAUAAAAAGGCAUAAAUUAAAUUCUGAACUAGUCCUACUCUGAGACAAAUUUCUGAACAUAAUUCUUGAAUAAUCUUUUAAAAAGAGAGAUGGUAAGAAACCAAAAGGUCCUACCUCAUGCAGAGACAGCUUAGUUCAACCAGUGAUCCAGCAGAGUUCACUGACACUUCUGUAAAUUAUUCAUUAGGUCACACCACAAAAUGCAACCUCUGAGAGAAUGGAUUUCCCACCCCACCCACUAAAAGGGACACAAAGUGAUGACUUCCAAAGACAGUAUCUACCUGUCACCUCUCUUCUUCCCCCCACCCUCCCUGGUUGCUGAUCUGGGAAUGUGAGACAUGAAGGAAACUAUGCCAGAAAAACAGGAAAGACAAGAAGAUGUGCUUGAAAAGUCAAAAUUUUUAAAAAGUUUGGUAGAAAAAGUAUUUGGUCCUGGUCAUCUUCAUGAGGGAGAAUUUAAGUAAGCCAUUGAUGAAUGUAAUAAAACCUAUUUCCUACUAAGGAAACAACAUACAGAACUGCAAGCUGUCUUUACAAUAAAUUCAAAAGGAGAAAGUUUGCCUGCUAACAAAAGCAAUUCACAACUUACAAAGCACCUUUUUUUUGUUGAAUGGAUUUGUGUACAUUUCCGAUACCGGGUGUCUCCUUUACCCUUUUAACACCACACUCUUUAAAGUAUAUUGAAUAAACAUCUCUGCCUGGAAAUAAACCAAACCACAACUAGUGCAUAAGUUCAUUUAUGACUUCAAAUUUGACAAGCUACAACUAACACAAUUCAGU